rnacentral:lncRNA from 1 species
CCCAAGGGAAAUGCUAAGAGCAUUUUGUAUCAGAUGUGCUAUAUUUGAGUUCCGUGUCGAAAGAAGUGUUAAACAGGUGGGGGAACAGAGCUCAGAAAUACGUCUAUGCUGGAAAUAUAAAUUUGGCUUCAAGAAGCACAUAAUUUAAAGUCAUGAGUGUGGGUGCCAUUGCUCAAGAAGGAUUCAGACCUGCUUCCUGGUUUAUAGAUGGAUCUGUCUUUCUCUGUGUCUUCACAAAGUAUUUCUGUUCUAGGGACACAAACCCUAUUUGCUUGCCUUCAUACCACAGUCAAUCCCAAUGUCCCCACUCCUGAUACUAGGAACGAGGAUCUAGGAGUUUGAAGGAAUGUAAACAUCAAAUCCACUCGGAGUACUGGGAAGUCAUAGUUAGGAUGUAGAGCCCAGGCAGUGGCCUGAUUUCCAAGCUGGUUGUUAUUCUUGGCACCCAAGGGCUCCUCAAGUCUGCUCCUUCAGCAUAGACUCUGUACCUCAUGGUAGGCCCCGCACUCUUCUGAGCUUCCCAUCUCACCCUUCUGCCAUCUGCUGUGAAAUGCAGCUGUCAACAAACAGAAUGUCUUUGACUGAGUGUUCCAUAGAAAUGUUAUCAACAAUAAAAAUCAAAGCCCUCAUUGGCUGCCUGCUGAACCAAGGUGAAGAGUAGAUUCUGACAGGGAGACUCUAUUGUUGGAGGUACCACAUACGUGAGUCAUAGAACUUGAAGAUUUCAUACUGAUACAAAAAACGUCAUCCCUACUGCCUAACCUUCAUAGUGCUGGAGGAUGCUAUGCAUACCACUGAAGGAAAAAGUAUUAGUGGACCCUGAAAGUUCCAACAACCACCAACCUGGCAAGAUAUGCCCACUGGUAUAACAGUAAAGCAAUCACUUUCUGAUUGGCUUUAAGGCCCACCUCAAGAUGAACCCAUUCCUAACACCAUUUUAGGAGCUAUGAACCUGUGACUAGUUAGAUCUUAGACCCCAGGGAAAAAUCUAAUACUAUUAUUCUGCUAUGUAGACAUAGUAUUAAUCCAACUCCUAUUGACUUAUUGUUAUACUCAAAGGUUUGUGCAUCCCUCAGCUCUCAUCAGAGAAGUCUCUAGUUGCUUGCAGUUAACACAGAGACCCACAACUGGUCAAAGAGCAGAAAGUAAGAGACUGUGGAGUGAUCACCUCUAGAUGAGACAUUUUAUCAGUCCCUCCCUCUGGACCAUCAGGAAUCAUUGCAGAAGAGCAGGUGAAAAGGUAGGGUUAGUUUUGUUUAAGGGUGUGACCCUAAUAGGUCAACCAUGCUCCAUUGAAUGGCCCCAUAUGCAAGAGUUUUGGAGCAGCACAAAUUGCACUCUGGAUUUUUCAAAUAAAAAGAGGAUGUAAAGUUGGCUGUGUUGGGAGGUGAGAAUGUAUCUACAGGGAGUUGAAGAAGUGGAUAUAAUCAAAAUACAUUGUAUGAAAUUCACAAAUAAUUAAUAAAAAUAUUGUUUUGAAAAAUCU